GAUGAACGCUGGCGGCGUGCCUAAUACAUGCCAGUCGAGCGAACGGACGAGAAUCUUGCUUCUCUGAUGUUAGCGGCGGACGAGUGAGUAACACGUGGAUAACCUCCCUAUAAGACUGGGAUAACUUCGGGAAACCGGAGCUAAUACCGGAAAAUAUUUUGAACCGCAUGGUUCAAAAGUGAAAGACGGUCUUGCUGUCACUUAUAGAUCGAUCCGCGCUGCAUUAGCUAGUUGGUAAGGUAACGACUUACCAAGGCAACGAUGCAUAGCCGACCUGAGAGAGGGACAGGCGACACUGGGACUGAGUGACGGUCCAGACUCCGACGGGAGGCCGCAGUAGGCAAUCUUCCGCAACGGGCGAAAGCAAGACGGAGCAACGCGGCGUGAGUUAUGAAGGUCUUCGGACCGUAAAACUCUGUUAUUAGGGAAGAACAUAUGUGUAAGUAACUGUGCACAUCUUGACGGUACCUGGUCAGAAAGCCACGGCUAACUACGUG
rnacentral:rRNA from 1 species